rnacentral:rRNA from 1 species
AAAGGAAUAGACGGGGGCCCGCACAAGCGGAGGAACAUGUGGUUUAAUUCGAUGAUACGCGAGGAACCUUACCUGGGCUUAAAUGUAGGACGACGUUCUGGGAAACCAGAAUUUCUUCGGACGGCUUGCAAGGUGCUGCAUGGCUGUCGUCAGCUCGUGCCGUGAGGUGUAGGGUUAAGUCCCAUAACGAGCGCAACCCCUAUCGUUAGUUGCCAGCGGAUAAUGCCGGGGACUCUAACGAAACUGCCGGUGUAAACCGUGAGGAAGGUGGGGAUGACGUCAAGUCAGCACGGCCCUUAUGUCCAGGGCUACACACGUGUUACAAUGGCCAGCACAGAGGGCAGCUACCUGGUGACAGGAUGCUAAUCUCGAAAACUGGUCUCAGUUCGGAUUGAAGUCUGCAACUCGACUUCAUGAAGCUGGAUUCGCUAGUAAUCGCGCAUCAGCCACGGCGCGGUGAAUACGUUCCCGGGCCUUGUACACACCGCCCGU